CAGAACACACCAUCCGAUUGUGUUUUUCCUCAGUACCGUUACAAUUUUGUAGACAUUUGCACAGCACGCCAGCUAGUCUAAAAUGGAAAGUUUGACUUUUUUCCCCUCAGGAUGGCGCUUUUUGCUUGGGAGGACGACGGUUUUGCACCAUUUUUUUCUCUAAUUGAAAAUUUGGCCCCAAAAGACGGUACGUAAGUGUCAACUUUGGACAUUAUUUGAUUAAAAAAUUGUUCAGCAUUUAGCCUCAAGUUGAAUCACAACAGUCCACAAAAUCAUAGGUUUAAAAUUCAGGUCGGGGGUAUUGUGGAAAAAGUAACACUUUUCGUUUUAGGCCAAGUAAUGUGUUGUGGCAAAUGAUCACAAAAUUGUAAUGGUACUGAACAAAGACGCAAUCCGGCGGUGUGUUUCG